rnacentral:rRNA from 1 species
UACGUAGGGUGCAAGCGUUGUCCGGAAUUAUUGGGCGUAAAGAGCUCGUAGGCGGUCUGUCGCGUCUGCUGUGAAAACCCGGGGCUCAACUCCGGGCUUGCAGUGGAUACGGGCAGACUAGAGUUCGGUAGGGGGAGACUGGAAUUCCUGGUGUAGCGGUGAAAUGCGCAGAUAUCAGGAAGAACACCAAUGGCGAAAGCAGCUUCUGGGACGUUACUGACGCUGAGACGCGAAAGCGUGGGGAGCGAACAGG